rnacentral:rRNA from 1 species
AUACGGAGGGUGCAAACGUUGUUCGGAAUCACUGGGCGUAAAGGGCGCGCAGGCGGUUUGAUUAGUCAGAUGUGAAAGCCCACGGCUUAACCGUGGAAGUGCAUUUGAAACUGUCAGACUUGAGUACUAGAGGGGAAAGUGGAAUUCCCGGUGUAGAGGUGAAAUUCGUAGAUAUCGGGAGGAAUACCGGUGGCGAAGGCGACUUUCUGGCUAGAUACUGACGCUGAGGCGCGAACGCGUGGGGAGCAAACUGGAUUAGAUACCCCUGUAGUCC